rnacentral:rRNA from 1 species
AAGCCCUUUUAGGCGGGGACGAUAAUGACGGUACCCGCAGAAUAAGCUCCGGCUAACUUCGUGCCAGCAGCCGCGGUAAUACGAAGGGGGCUAGCGUUGUUCGGAAUUACUGGGCGUAAAGCGCGCGCAGGCGGUUUCUCAAGUCAGUGGUGAAAGCCCCGGGCUCAACCUGGGAAUGGCGGUUGAAACUAGUCGACUCGAAUCUGGCAGAGGGGGGUGGAAUUCCCGGUGUAGCGGUGAAAUGUGUAGAGAUCGGGAGGAACACCGGUGGCGAAGGCGGGUCUCUGGGCAACUCCUGACGCUGAGGCGCGAAAGCGUGGGGAGCAAACGGGAUUAGAUACCCCGGUAGUCCUGGCCCUAAACGAUGAAUGCUUGGUGUGGCGGGUAUCGAUCCCUGCCGUGCCGCAGCUAACGCAUUAAGUCGUCCGCCUGGGGAGUACGGCCGCAAGGUUGAAACUUAAAGGAAUUGACG